rnacentral:lncRNA from 1 species
GGUGACCGGGAACUAAGACACUUUUUUGGAGAAGUCACUUCUAGGCGGCGCGUGCGCAGUCUGCGAGCACGCCUGCGCACUGCGCCUCUGAAGCCGCAGCGGUGCCCUCACUUCAAAGGCUGCCCGCUCUUCCCUGCUUUCCGUUGCGACCCGUCCGGACCUAGGUUGGCAAGGCUGGCGGCGCGUGAGUCUGCAAGAUGCUCGCUUGGUUUCUGUGCUGACCUCGGGCAAGAGUGAAACCUGAUCCACGCCUUCCUUGUUGUUCCAGGUUGUUGGAAUUAGGGAUCCUGGGGAUGUGUGGUGGACUGCGGACCUGAGACUGAUUGACAGUAGGACUCCCAAGCGAUCAAUGCAAAGGCCUUAGGGGAUGCCCUGCUAGGCUUGUCCCAGGUGAUCUUCCCAGACUGCCCUGAUGCUACCUGACUCCUGGCUGCCUCUUGCGGGACCCAUCUUCACCUACCACCCGGUUUCUGGUGUUUCCACCAGCCUGCUUCUGUCCCUGGGGAUCUGGGGUUCAGAGAUUGUCCAGGAGAGGAGUGACAAGCGAAUUCUAAUGCCACACUAUUGUUUAAUGCUCCUGACUUGGAACAAGAAAGGCUGCUGAUACUUGUGUUCUUGCUUAGAACCCAACUUGUUUAGGUGUCACAUAAAUGCGGAGGAAAAGACACACAGUCACACACCAAAAAAUGGCUGCACAGUGAAUGCUUUCCCAAACACCAUAGGAUUCUCCUAGCAAUGAAGCAUGGGAUCAGACGUUGGAGACUACCUAGCCAGUUCAAGGCCAGCCUGUGCCACAUAAGAUGCUGGGUCAGAAUGAACAAAGGAAAAUGAAGCAAGCACAAGAACAAUGAAGGCUGCCCAAACCAAAUCCUACCUUUCUUAAGUUGCUUUGGUUGGGUGUUUUGUUGUUAACAGCAAUGUUGAAAGUAGGAAAACCCAGAAAACUGGUACCAAGUGAGGGGUUGCAAUAAACCUUAUCACAAAUCUUAUACAUCCUUGUAACCAGUUGGAGAGAAGAAUGUGGAAGAAUUGGAAGAAUGGCUAGAAAAGCUCUUGAAUACCAUAAAUAGAGCUUAAUGAGCCAUUCUUAUGGGAUCGGGAGCACAAAAUUGCUGAGAGAAAUAUAGACAGUGGAGCCCUAGCUCUUUAGGUUUCAGAGCAGAACAAAGAAUGUCAAAAUCUGCCUGGGUCAUUCAUGUGAUUUUUUUUUUUCUGACAAUCGAUAUUCUGCAUGUCCUGGGAACUUGAGUAAGGUUGAAUUUAAAGAUAAUUGUAGAGGAAUUUGUUUGGUGGAGGAAACUUCAAACCAGGAGAGCAUGCGGGCUGUGGUGCACAACUGCGUAGUGCACUUGGUCAGGUCUAUGAUGAAAAAGGCCCAAUUAUUACACAGAAAGCGUUUUAAAAGUGAAGUCUGACAUAGAAACCAGAAUAAGCAAAUUUAAAGGUAGGGCUAACCUCAGAAUCAUACUUCUUUCUCUGCCUC